rnacentral:rRNA from 1 species
AUUGAACGCUGGCGGCAUGCCUUACACAUGCAAGUCGAACGGCAGCACGGGAGCAAUCCUGGUGGCGAGUGGCGAACGGGUGAGUAAUAUAUCGGAACGUGCCCAGUAGUGGGGGAUAACUGCUCGAAAGAGCAGCUAAUACCGCAUACGACCUGAGGGUGAAAGGGGGGGAUCGCAAGACCUCUCGCUAUUGGAGCGGCCGAUAUCAGAUUAGCUAGUUGGUGGGGUAAAGGCCUACCAAGGCAACGAUCUGUAGUUGGUCUGAGAGGACGACCAGCCACACUGGGACUGGGACACGGGCCAGACUCCUACGGGAGGCAGCAGUGGGGAAUUUUGGACAAGGGGCGCAAGCCUGAUCCAGCAAUGCCGCGUGCAGGAAGAAGGCCUUCGGGUUGUAAACUGCUUUUGUCAGGGAAGAAAUCCUCUAGGUUAAUACCCUUGGGGGGAUGACGGUACCUGAAGAAUAAGCACCGGCUAACUACGUGCCAGCCGCCGCCGUAACAC